CCUACGGGAGGCAGCAGUGAGGAAUAUUGGUCAAUGGACGAGAGUCUGAACCAGCCAAGUCGCGUGAAGGAUGACUGCCCUAUGGGUUGUAAACUUCUUUUAUAUGGGAAUAAAACGUUCCACGUGUGGGCUUUUGUAUGUACCAUCUGAAUAAGGAUAGGCUAACUCCGUCCCAGCAGCCGCGGUAAUACGGAGGAGCCGAGCUUUAGCCGGAUUUAUUGGGUUUAAAGGGAGCGUAGGUGGAUUGUUAAGUCAGUUGUGAAAGUAUGCGGCUCAACCGGAACAGUGCAGUUGAAACUGGCAGUCUGGAGUACAGGAGAGGGAGGCGGAAUUCGUGGUGUAGCGGUGAAAUGCUUAGAUAUCACGAAGAACGCCGAUUGCGAAGGCAGUUCACUGGACUGCAACGGACACUGAGGCUCGAAAGUGUGGGUAGCAAACAGGAUUAGAUACCCUGGUAGUC
rnacentral:rRNA from 1 species